GACCCUCGGCAAUGGAUAUCUCGGCUCUCGCGUCGAUGAAGAACGUAGCAAAAUGCGAUACUUGGUGUGAAUUGCAGAAUCCCGUGAACCAUCGAGUCUUUGAACGCAAGUUGCACCCCAAGCCUUCUGGCCGAGGGCACGUCUGCAUGGGUGUCA
rnacentral:rRNA from 1 species